rnacentral:rRNA from 1 species
UACGAAGGACCCGAGCGUUAUCCGGAUUUAUUGGGUUUAAAGGGUGCGUAGGCGUCCUGGAAAGUUACGGUUGAAAUCUCCUUGCUUAACAAGGAAACUGGCCGUAAAACUAUCAGGAUUGAGUACAUUUGAAGCGGGCGGAAUGUGUCAUGUAGCGGUGAAAUGCUUAGAUGUGACACAGAACACCAAUUGCGAAGGCAGCACUCUGGGACGUGACUGACGCUGAGACGCGAAAGCGUGGGGAGCAAACAGG